UUUCAGCGACAGCCAAAAUCACCACCGCUUCUGCUACGAACAUGUUAAGCCAUCCUUUUAACCGUUGCUGCCACCACUAUUACGGCCAUCACAAGAAAAUUCAUGCAAGUGGAAACGGUGAUAGUAGCAGCUGGUAUGACACGUUGGUAGCAGUAGCGGUGGUAAUGCCGAUAGCGUGA
rfam:Arabidopsis thaliana chromosome 5, complete sequence.